rnacentral:lncRNA from 1 species
AAAACCAAACACUGCAUGUUCCCACUCAUAAGUGGGAGCUGAACAAUGAGAACACAUGGACACAGGGAGGGGAAACAUCACACACUGGGGCCCGUCAAGGGGUUGGGGGCUAGGGGAGAGAUACUAUUAGGAGAAAUACCUAAUGUAGAUGACGGGCGGAUGGGUGCAACAAACCUGCACAUUCUGCACGUGUAUCCCAGAACUUAGAGUAUAAUUUGAAAAAGAAAAAGGAAUGAAUGAAGAUGAGUGACAAGUAACAAUGUCAACAGAUUUUAUUCUUUUUGGUGACAAAGUAAAUGUACCCAUACUCCCUAAGACCCACUGUUUGAUCAGGAGGAAGGCAAAAAGCAUUCUAAUCUUUCAUCACAAUGCCCUUCAGAAACAUCAGCGUGUGUGCAUGCAUAUAUUGUUAUCUUUUGAAACUAAUAAAAAUCAGUCACUGAGGAAACAUAAAACAACCACCAAAGGUAGAGCUGUUCUCAGUCUGCAAUGCUCACCAUGAGCAGAGACGUACGGUGAUGUACAAAAACUUACCAGGCAGAACCCACAGACCAUAUAAUCUUCACAAAAGCUAGAAAAACCAGUUUUGGACAAUGUGACAUUUUACAGAACACAUUCAAGUUGGUACUGUCAUGAGGGGAAACCCCCAUAAACCAAAAGUUUCAUGCAGAGCAUGAUUUUGGAAAGGACAGAGAAUAGUAAGAUACAAUCUAUUGGAUGCAGUAACAUUUCUGCUAAUGUGAAAGUCCAGUCUAUAUUAUUGAAUGAACAAUAACCCAAAGGAGAGCUACAUUUUAUUAGGUUAAGAAAAUGGAAAUGACUUUGUGCUUUUCUCAAUAUGAAUAUUAAAUAUAUACAUAUAUAUAUAAAUCCCUUUCACCAAUUUGGUUAUAUGAUCAAACUUAACAACCAACCACUAAAAGAUACUGCCAGCACAUGGGCAUCCAAAUCUUAGGAUUAUUUUGUGAAAUUGUACAGGACACAGAGAAAGAGAGGAAGAAAUUUUCAAUCAAGCAAAUUUAGCAAGAUUUGGCAGACUCAGUUGCGCAGAUCGGUUGAAAUUUGGUCUUCCAUUAUUACUGUAUCAUUUACUCUUGUGUCAUCUAAGGACAACCUUCUAACUAAGACUCUCUUAUGCUGCAAAUGAUUAUAAUUUAAGGACCGUGAGUGUAUAAAAUAAGCUAUUAUAUAUGUAUAUAUAAAAUAUACUCUAAUAAAUACAAAAUAAAGAGUGUAUGCAUUAAAGAACCACUUGUGAACUCUUGGAGCAUGGGGGUAGCAACCAGCUACUUAUACACCUAUAGUAGUAUGUAUAUCAUCAUCUAACUAGGUUUUCUUGAUAAAGUUUUUACUGUGGAACCUCAAAAUUGUUAUUAAGACUUUUUUCUAUCUCAAUUUCUUUUCCCUGAUUUACAUUAGGUAUACAGAUAAGGAAGAAAAAUAAUUAUCAGUCACUUAACUACCUUGGAGUUUCAAUAGUGAAUUCUUUGGUUUUUGAAUGUUAGAAUCUUUAAUAAUGAGGUAAUUAUAGCUCUUUGGCCAUUUAAUCUUCAUCUUCUAAAAUUUAGUCAUUGUCUUGCAAGAAGUUGUGCCUUUUUCCUGAGGUGUAAUUUGUGCCAUGAAAACUCACCUUAAAGGAGAAAAAGCUCCAGCAGAGAAUAUAAUACUCAUCAGGGCACUGUUUUCUCAUUUAUAUGAUAUAAAGAACUAAUUUGUGAAUGCAUGGGGCCAAGAAGGGAAGAUGUCACAGAAAAAAUUCCUUCAUUUGGUGACUCAAUGUAUUCAGACUGGGUCAUAUCAAAUGGUAAUGUUGAAAUUAGACAUUUUACAUAACAAUUAAAAUUAUUUACAGACAUCUCUACUUGGAUAUCCCAAAGGGAACCCAAUCCUAACAUGUUUAAAACUGAACUUCCCCAGCUCCUUGCCCCUCCCCCAGAGAGAGAAAGAGGAAAGAGAGAGAGGCCUCUACUCCUCUUGUGCUCCUGAUUUCAACAUAAUGCACCACCUCCCUAACCACACAACCCCAGUCAGACCCUCAUCCCCUCUCACGUGGCUGUUACCAACGCCUCCUGACAUUCCUGUCUUACCUCUCCCCAACCCAUCUUUCACACAGUUCCUAGAGUGAUAGUAAGUAAUAUUUAAUGAUAUUUUCUAAUCACAACAGUAAUUUGGUUCAUUGAAGUAAAUUUGAAAAAUACAACAAAAUCACAAAAAUGAAAAUCUCACUACUCAUUGAUAUUCACCAUUAACAUUUUGGUAUCUUUUCAGCAUGUUUGUGAUAAUGUGUGCAUAAUUUUGGAGGAGAUGGAGUCUCGACACGUUGCCCAAGCUGUUCUCAAACUCCAGGGCUUGAACAAUCUUCCCACCUUGGCCUCCCAAGGCACUGGAAUUACAGAGACAGUGCUCUGCAGGGAGUCUACCACUGUGAUGGUUAAUACUGAGUGUCAACUUGAUUGGAUUGAAGGAUGCAAAGUAUUGUUCCUGGGUGUGUCUGUGAGGGUGUUGCCAAAGGAGAUUAACAUUUGAGUCAGUGGGCUGGGAAAGGUAGACCCAGCCGUAAUCUAGGUGGGCACCAUCUAAUCAGCUGCCAGCACAGCUAGAAGAUAAAGUAGGCAGAAAAACAUGAAAACAUUAGACUGGCCUAGCCUCUGAGCCUACAUCUUUCUCCCAUGCUGGAUGCUCCCUGCCCUUGAACAUCAGACUCCAAGUUUUUCAGUUUUGGGACUGGGACUCACUAUCCUUGCUCCUCAGCUUGCAGACAGCCUAUUGUGGGACCUUAUGAUCAUGCAUUCUGCUGGACCAACAAACAACAGUGUAUUUUUUCAUCCCCCUGCUGUUUGACAAUAAGAUUUUCUUAGCCUUGUAACAAUUAACAACUCAAAAAUAUACAUCUUUGUAUAUGUCUCCUUGAACAAGAGUUUCUCCCUGAGAAGCUCCCAGAAGAAGAACUGUUGGGCUAUGGAGAAUAUGCAUUGUCAACCUUACUUGGUAGUUCCAACAUAGCUUUCCAAAGUGUUUAUACUUAUUUUCCGUCCCUGCAACCACGCCUUGGAGUUCUUGUUUUGUUUGCAUUAUCACCAACAGUGAAUAUUAUCAAACUUAAUAAAUUUGUAAAUAUAAAAUGUUUUGUCCUUGUUUUAAUUUACAUUUCCUAAGUACUAAAGAAGUUGGACAUCUUUACAUAUAUUUAUUGGCCAUUGUAUUAGUUCAUUUUCACACUGCUAAUAAAGACACACCUGAGCCUGAGUAAUUUAUAAAGAAAAAGAAAUUUAAUGGACUCAUAGUUCCACAUGGCUGGGGAGGUCUCACAAUCAUGGCAGAAGGUGAAUGAGGAGAAAGACAUGUCUUACAUGGCAGCAGACAAGAGAGAGCAUGUGAGGGGAACUGCUGUUUAUAAAAUCAUCAGAUUUCAUGAGACUUAUUCACUAUCAAGGGAACAGCAUGGGAAAAACCCGCCCCAUGAUUCAAUUACCUCCCACAGGCUCCCUCCCAUGACACAUGGGGAUUAUUAGAAUUCAAGGUGAGAUUUGGGUGGGGACACAAAGCCAAACCAUAUCAGCCAUCUAUCUUCCUCUGUCAGUUUACCAUUAUAUAUUUUAACAAUAUUUAUAUCUGAUAUUAUUGAUUUCUAAGAGCAUUUUAUAUAUUCUGCGUAUUAAUAUUUCAUUGGUAAUAUGAGUUGCAAGUGUCUUUUCUCAGUCUAUGACUUUUAUUUUCAUCUCUGUCCCCUUUUAUACAGAAGUUUUAUGUUUCAGUGUAUCAGAAUGUAUUAAUUUUUCCUUUCGUGCUUUCUCUAAGAAUUAUAUCUUAGGAGUAAGUUCAAGAGAGCUAUUGUACAAUAUGGUUGUAUAGUUAAUAACAUUUUGAAAAUCACUGACUAGAUUGUUUUUACCACAAAAAAUGAUAAGUACAUGAUGUAAUGUAUGUGUUAAUUAGCUCAAAUGAGCCAUUCCACAAUGUAUACGUAUUUCAAAACAAUGUUGUACACAAUAAGUAUAUAAAUAUAUGCAAUUUCUAUUGGUCAAUUAAAAAUAUAUUUUACUAAAGGCAUAAAAAUAUUCUCCCAUUUUUUGGUUGAAAGUUUUAGAGCUUUGCUGAUCACAUUUAGGUCUUUAAGCUAUCUGGAAUGUAUUUUUGUGAAUGAUGUGAUAUAGCAAUCUCAUUUUAUCUUGUACUAUAUAAUGGCCAAGUUCCUCAGCAUCAUUUAUUGAUGAUUUUAUCCCCUUUCUCAUAUAAAAAACUCCCAA